rnacentral:lncRNA from 1 species
CAGGGGCCUUGGUCCUUCCAUUGAUUCAUAAGUACAACACCCUACUUCUUGGAUACAGAGCCAUCGCGGAAUGUUCGCUGGAGUGAGGCAGCGUAUGGAGCACAUGGGACAUGCAGACCCAGACCCUCACUACAUUGCCCAGGCUGGACUUGAAUUCCUGGACUCAAGUGCUCCUCCCACCUCACCCUUCCAAGAAUAUGAGACCGCAGGCAUGUUCUACCUUACUCAGCUCUUACCAAUAUCUUUUAAUGUUACAUCAAUAUUUUUAGAUAAUAAACAUUGUAUUGUUGAACA